rnacentral:other from 1 species
GCAGGUUAUAAAUCAACGCCUUGAUUUAUAAACACGGAAAUCCCCUGAGUGAAACAACGAGAAUUGCUGUGUGUAGUCUUUGCCCAUCUCUUACGGUGGGCUUUUUUUAGU